ensembl:lncRNA
UGUUUAGUGAGUCCUCCAGAUCAGAGGCAGUAGGGAUGACCAGGGAUGUUCUCUGUUUAGUGAGUCCUCCAGAUCAGAGGCAGUGGGGAUGACCAGGGAUGUUCUCUGUUUAGUGAGUCCUCCAGAUCAGAGUCAGUAGGGAGGACCAGGGAUGUUCUCUGUUUAGUGAGUCCUCCAGAUCAGAGUCAGUAGGGAGGACCAGGGAUGUUCUCUGUUUAGUGAGUCCUCCAGAUCAGAGGCAGUAGGGAUGACCAGGGAUGUUCUCUGUUUAGUCAGACCAGGCCUCAGCUCACCGGGCUUGGGUCAGACCAGGCCUCAGCUCACCGGGCUUGGGUCAGACAAGGCCUCAGCUCACCGGGCUUGGGUCAGACCAGGACUCAGCUCACCGGGCUCGGGUCAGACAAGGCCUCAGCUCACCGGGCUUGGGUCAGACCAGGUCUCAGCUCACCGGGCUUGGGUCAGACAAGGCCUCAGCUCAUCGGGCUUGGGUCAAAGCAAGAUCGAAUUUUCAGUUCUGAUGAGAACACUUAAACUGCAUUCGGGUCUCGUGUGCAGUCCGGCAGUUUCAAUUAUGUGUGUGCUUGGAACUGAGAGCGACUUUGUGUAAAGUAAAUACGCUAAAGGCUUCUACCUGGUGGGAUAAUGUGCCAAUCUGCUUCUAC